rnacentral:rRNA from 1 species
GACGGAGGGUGCUAGCGUUGUUCGGAUUUACUGGGCGUAAAGGGCGCGUAGGCGGCCUUCUCAGUCGGGUGUGAAAGCCCGGGGCUCAACCCCGGAACGGCACCCGAGACGGGUUGGCUGGAGACCGGGAGAAGAGGGUGGAAUAGCCAGUGUAGAGGUGAAAUUCGUAGAUAUUGGCUGGAACACCGGUGGCGAAAGCGGCUCUCUGGCCCGGUUCUGACGCUGAGGCGCGAAAGCGUGGGGAGCAAACAGG